rnacentral:rRNA from 1 species
GACGAACGCUGGCGGCGUGCUUAACACAUGCAAGUCGAACGGAAAGGCCCUGCUUUUGUGGGGUGCUCGAGUGGCGAACGGGUGAGUAACACGUGAGUAACCUGCCCUUGACUUUGGGAUAACUUCAGGAAACUGGGGCUAAUACCGGAUAGGAGCUCCUGCUGCAUGGUGGGGGUUGGAAAGUUUCGGCGGUUGGGGAUGGACUCGCGGCUUAUCAGCUUGUUGGUGGGGUAGUGGCUUACCAAGGCUUUGACGGGUAGCCGGCCUGAGAGGGUGACCGGCGACAUUGGGACUGAGAGACGGCGCAGACUGCUACGGGAGGCAGAAGUGGGGAAUAUGGCACAAUGGGCGGGAGCCUGAUACAGCGACGCCGCGUGCGGAAUGACGGCCUUCGGGUUGUGAACCGCUUUCGCCUGUGACGAAGCGUGAGUGACGGUAAUGAAUAAAGAAGCACCGGCUAACUACGUG